CACUGAUCUUUAUAAAAGGCUGUAAGAAUAAUGUUGAUCCAGAUAGUAUGAACAUGUUGUACUUCGAGGGUCUUCCUCCAUGUAAUCCUGUGUGGAUAAUUAAAAUGCUGUAAUGUUUAUUGCCUGUGUGUGAUGGGUUACCUUUUAUGAAGACACUUCCCAGAA